rnacentral:lncRNA from 1 species
UGUGUAUGGUAUAACAUAGAGGUCCAAUUUUAUUCUUUUGCAUGUAGCUGCCCAAUUUUCCCAAUCCCAUUUAUUGAAGAGACUGUCUUUUCUCCAUUGUAUAUUCUCGCCUCCUUUGUCAGAAACCAAUUGGCCUUAUACGUAUGGGUUUAUUUCUGGACCCUCUAUUCUUUCCCGUAGAUCUAUGUUUGCUUUAUGCCAGUACCAUACUGUUUUGAUUACUAUAGCUUGGUAAUAUAGUUUGAAAUGUUUAGGCCUCUAGAUGUGUGCCAAACCUAAAGCCUGUCCUUCAGGCCAAAGCUCUAGAACAAGCAAAUGGGCCUCUUUCAGAGAAGGAGUGGGGGUGUGCCUCAGGUUGCUGCCUGUGCAGUGCCCUGGGGUGGUAGCCAGCUAAGAAGGAUCUCUUCACCCUUUACAGUCUCAUGGGACCCAGGACCACAAGGCCCCAUGGCCACCAGAGCCUAGCGAUCAAGGGGCAUCCCCUGGGCAGGAGCUGCCAAGACCGGGGACACCAGAUGCUUGUAAAUCUCCCCUCCGGAAGGUAGUAGCGCCUUGCAGCCUGGCAGCGGGAAGAGCAGGGGAAGACAGCGCCCGCCCACCGGGACUCUGGAGCGGAUUACAGGCAGCCCCCUAGACGCGUCUUCAAUCAGAAGCCUCUCCAACAGGCUGCAGCUGCGAUCGGAAGCAAACAGGCCUCCUUCCCAGGAAGACUGAGCUCCUGAGUCUGUUGCUUCUUGUCGUGCCGGCGGACGUGGUGGCUGUUUCAGAACCCUUUUGGGGUUGGCUCUAGCUCCUGGGGACCCACGAGCCUAAGCCCCCUCCCCUGCCACCGGGCGUGUGUACAAGGAAAGAAAGAAGGAAAGGAAAGGAAACAACCCCCGAGGAGGAACCCUGGCGCCCCCAGGAGCAAGGAGUGGGGAAGCGUGAAGGUGGCACCUGCUAGGCCUCCACCUCGGGGAGCGUCCAGCAGGCUCCCAGGCGGGUGCGGACGAAUCCGAUGUCCUGCCCGCGGGCCGAGGCCCCACAGCCGCACCCGCCUCUCCCGCCGCCGCUUCCGCCCGGGGGGCCUCCACCGUCUCCAGGCCUCCCUCCUGCCUCUCCUCUCCCUCCUGAACUUUGCCCUUUUCCAAAAAUCAAGAACCUCUGCAAAAUCUGCCCUCCUUCAAAUCUCAGCUGCUUUGCAAAUGGAGGUCACUCCCAUGGGGCUGCCUGUUCUUCCCUGUGCUUCUCUGGAGAUUCAGAUUCUUAGAUGGUGGUGGUAA